CACGGCCGUCACCCUCAUCAUCGAGGAACUCAGAAAAAAACACCCGGACCUGAAACCAGUGAAUCCAGUUCCUGCCUGGAAUGUUGCUGCUCCUACCAGAACAGGAGACCUUGACUUGGACUCUCGUGGUGGGCGUCAUCAUCGCCAGUGCAACUUCAGGAAGUUUCAUGGUAGCAGUGGAGGGCCGGUACGGAAAUUCUGAUGCCA